AGUGGCUGUAGCUCAGUGGUAAAGCAUCUGCUUUGCAAGCAGAACGUCCUGGGUUCCCCAGCAUCUCUA